AAAAGAAAAAAAAAUUGAUAAGAUUGAUCAAAUGCACUCAAUUCUACAAAUCAAAUAUUUUUACAAUAUGUUAACUUCUCAAUUCUACUAAUCAAAUAUUUUUACAAUAUGUUAACUUCUCAAUUCUACUAAUCAAAUAUUUUUACAAUAUGUUAACUUCUCAAUUCUACUAAUCAAAUAUUUUUACAAUAUGUUAACUUCAUAUCCCAUUAGACAUAGAAAAUAACUCGGAGCAACAUAUACAAUAGUUUGUUACAAUAUAAACCCAGCAAAAAUAUACAAUUGCAUAACUUGUCCAAAACAUUCUUCUAUCGGCCAUAACCACUACAACCCCUCCAAACUAGCAGCUGCAGAACUUGACGACCAUGCUAAACAAGAACUUCUUCAUAAUAACCAAUCACCACAAAGCUUCACAACCUCGCAAAAUAAAAAUUCAUGUCCAUCAAAUUAAACAUAUACUUCAUGAAUAACAAGUACAAUCAUUACUAGAUAUACCAACAUGCAGUUCUUAUAAUAUAGAUGUUCAUCAAAAGAAGUUAUAGCCUUGCAGGUAAAAUCAAACCCUUUUGUAGCACAACUGUUACAUGGAAUUUAAAUCAACAGAAGAUAAUUAUAAUAUACAUACGUGAAAGCUUUCUAACUAAUUUAUACUCUAAGAGAAUCAGGUCGAUAAAGAAAUAUAAACACCAUUGUGGAUGUCAGCUUUUCUUUUAAACGCAGCAAUAAUAGAAAACCUAUAACUAUUAGUCGGCUCACCCAAUGAAUCUGAAACUUUAACAUGAUGAACUAAACAUACUCAUAGGUGUUGAAUACAAAUUUCAGAUCAAACACACCAUGAAAAGCCCCUGAAUUACUCUAAUGUACAUGACUGUACAAAACAGUCCAUUGUGGAUGUCAGUUCUUUUUUUUUAAAAACGCAACAAUAAUAGACAAUCUAUAACUCUCAGAUGACUCACCCAAUAAAUCUGAAAUUUUAACAAGAUAAACUAAACAUACUUAUAGGUGUUCAGUAAGAAUUUAAGAUCAAACAGACCAUGGAAAGCCCCGAAUUACUCUAAUGUAAAUGACUGUACAAAACUGCCCAGGUCUUGAAAAAGGAAAUAAGUUCUACUUUUCAAUUUGCUUAUACUUAAAUGAAAAGGCAAAAAUAAAAAGAAAACAAAAGGUGUUCCAUUACCUUAGCCCUCUUCGCUCAGCCAUUGUUCAUCAUAGUGGAAUAUAUGAGUUAACUUAUCUUCGUAUACAACUUAUACUGCAUAAAAGAUAUUAACAAAAUCACACACUCGAUACAUCAUAAGUAAUAUCAAAAUCACACACAUGCCUCAAAACGUUUCAUGAGAUGUGCAAUAAAAAUAAAGAAAGACAAAUAAUAUAAAAGGACUGAAGUUCAAAAACUCACCCCAAAAGUGUCAAAAAAGAAGACUGCAACAUAACUUACACCUCCAAUGCCUCCAUUAACUCUUCAAUAUCUUCUGUAUCCUCGUCUUGGACUCCUUCCUCAGCUUGGAACCAAUCCUUUGAACACAUCAAAGCUUCUAAGAUUGUUGGUGACUGUAGGGGUACUACAUACCCCAGCCAAUCAAAAGCAGCCAUGUGGCAUAGUCAUUACUUCAUCAGGUCGCUACGACUUCGACCUACUCGCAGCUCGACCACAACGACUCGACCACAUAAUCAACAGCGGUCUACUAAUACGCACGUGCCAUAAUUCGAACCCAAGAUACUCUCUCCAGCCGUUGCACAUUUACUACAGCCGUUACACAAUCGCUGGAGAACAUCAAUACAAUCAUAAAUAUGACGGAGAAUCUGCAAGGUCCCACGAUCUUCGCCCCUUCAUCUUCUAUAUAAACAGAACUACGAUGGCUUGAUCUCUAAGUUCAAUCCCCUCGAGCUAAGAGUACGUAGGCAAUCUCAAUCUCAACGAGGUGCAGCCACCCCGAUCCAAAACUUCC
rnacentral:lncRNA from 1 species